GACGAACGCUGGCGGCGUGCCUAAUACAUGCAAGUCGAGCGRACAGAAGGGAGCUUGCUCCCGGAUGUUAGCGGCGGACGGGUGAGUAACACGUGGGUAACCUGCCUGUAAGACUGGGAUAACUCCGGGAAACCGGAGCUAAUACCGGAUAGUUCCUUGAACCGCAUGGUUCAAGGAUGAAAGACGGUUUCGGCUGUCACUUACAGAUGGACCCGCGGCGCAUUAGCUAGUUGGUGGGGUAAUGGCUCACCAAGGCGACGAUGCGUAGCCGACCUGAGAGGGUGAUCGGCCACACUGGGACUGAGACACGGCCCAGACUCCUACGGGAGGCAGCAGUAGGGAAUCUUCCGCAAUGGACGAAAGUCUGACGGAGCAACGCCGCGUGAGUGAUGAAGGUUUUCGGAUCGUAAAGCUCUGUUGUUAGGGAAGAACAAGUGCGAGAGUAACUGCUCGCACCUGACGGUAC
rnacentral:rRNA from 1 species